AUGGCUCUGAUGGACGCGCGCCCAGCUAAGGUCAAGCGACGCACACCCUCGUUGACACCGAUCAGUGACCUGCUCGACGAGUUCGCCGAUGUCUUUGCCGCGCCCAAGGGACUACCACCACACCGUCAAUACGACCAUGUCGUCACCCUGGUGGACGGCGUGCGCCCCGCAAACACGCGGCCGUACCGGUACUCGCCGGUGCAAAAGGAUGAGAUUGAGAAGCAGGUUCGUGAGAUGCUGGACUCGGGGGUGAUCACGCACAGUGUCAGCCCCUAUGCGGCACCGGUCCUCCUCGUCAAAAAGAAGGACGGUACGUGGUGCUUCUGUGUAGACUACCGGUGGCUCAACAACAGCACCAUCAAGAACAAAUUUUCGUUGCCGACCGUGGACGAGUUACUCGAUGAACUGGCAGGUGCCGCAUAUUUCUCCAAGCUGUAUCUCCGCUCUGGUUAUCAUCAAAUACAGAUGCUGGAGGCAAAUGAAGCCAAGACAACGUUCAAGACUCACCAUGGCCAUUUCCAAUUUCGUGUCAUGCCAUUUGGGCUGCCCAGCGCCCCGGCAACCUUCCAGUGCCUCAUGAAUGCGAUCUUCGAAGCACACAUACGCAAGUUUGUGAUCAUCUUCCUUGACGACAUCCUGGUUUUCAGUGAGACACUAGAGGAGCAUGUGCAACAUCUACGAAUAGUCCUGGAGAUUCUUCGGGAGCAUCAAUUAUAUGCCAAGCUUUCCAAAUGCUCGUUCGCUCAGGAUCACAUUGAUUACCUUGGGCAUGUCAUCUCCAAGGAUGGGGUGACAACGGACAGCGACAAGACAGAAGCCAUGAUGAACUGGCCCACACCAACAAACACUACUGAGCUCCAAGGAUUCUUGGGUCUCACGGGCUAUUAUCACAAAUUCGUCCCACACUAUGGGAUAAUUGCCAAGCCUCUGACCCAGCAACUCACUAAGAAGGGGUUUCAGUGGACAGAGCAGGCGCAACUCGCGUUUGACACCCUCAAGCAGGCCAUGGUGACCACACCCAUUCUUGCUCUGCCCAACUUCGACAAGCCGUUCUCGAUCGAGACUGACGCAUGCGACACGGGCAUCGAUGCCAUUCUUGUUCAAGAAGGCCAUCCAAUUGCCUACUAUAGCAAAGCUUUAGGCAUCAAGAACCAGAAAUUGUCGACAUAUGAAAAGGAGUUCCUCGCUGUCAUGAUGGCAGUGGACAAGUGGCGCUCGUACCUCCAACGGGGCCCCUUUACCAUUCUCACAUAUCACAAGAGUUUGUGCACAUUGGGAAAUCAACAACUAGAAACAGAUGUACAACGCCGGGCAAUGUCCAAAUUGGUUGGCUUGCAGUUCCACUUCCAAUACAAGCGCGGCGUUGACAACGGCGCGGCUGAUGCCUUGUCCCGCGUCGGCACACACUUUGAGGCGGCCGCUCUCUCUCUCGGUCAACCAGCCUGGGUAUAG
rnacentral:rRNA from 1 species